GAUAAGGAACUAUAUCAUUUAAAGAAUAAACUUGGAUGGUUUCUUGUUGAUAUUGGGGAAUAGGACGCAGCUAUAGAAAUAUUAGAAGUUUUAUUGGACCAAUUGGAAAAUGAGUUUGGUAAUGCAUCCAGGGAAUCGGCGGAUCCGUUAUAUGCUAUGCUCACUCUUUGCUAUAGAAGGGGUAUGAAGUUUGUGUAUGGUAAUAAUCCUCUAACUAGAAGUAAUCGUCAAACAGGAAUUGUAUACAGUAGGUGUUACGAGGUGUUCACCAAACAUUUCGACAAGACUGAUAAUAAACUUGGAGAAGUGCUGUCGAUUGCUGGAUACUUUAAUAAAGAAUAUCUGGAAGAAGCUGAACAUAUCUUCAAGAAAAACAACAAUGGUGGGGGCUUGGCUGUCGUCUAUUUUAUGCUGGGAGGGAAAAACCAA